UCUAAGCCAGGGUGGCUCCCUCAUCUGCCCAAUGUGGAUACUGUUUCCUUGCACCUGAGCUGUGACUAGGAGAGGGUGGGAGAAAGGGAGGCAAAAGGCAGAAAAGCUCCGGACUGCGGCAUGUACUUCUAUGAGGACUACUCCAUGAAAAGGGAUGCCUGAUGCUGCCCUUCCUGAACUGUACUCUUCUAGGAUGGAUGCCAUGUAUGGGUCUCCCGCGUUACUAGGAGGAAGGCUGUCAUCACAACUGCUAACUUCAAUGUAGGAAGCUACUGGUAACAAGAGUUAAAAUGAGCAUUGGGAACAUUCUCAAAUUGUAAGUAGAGGGAUUUUGUGGCAGCUGAAUAAACUGAGUCUCUGAAAACAAAUUUAAAAGUUUUUUUCAACUUUGAAUAUUCUUUUGGUAAUAAAACUUCAAAUAUAAUAUAUUCCUCCAAGAUGAUAAUCUGAAGAGAAAUCUGAAUAGGACACAAAGUAAAAUCCAUGAUCAAAAUA